GACGAACGCUGGCGGCGUGCUUAACACAUGCAAGUCGAACGGAAAGGCCCCUUUGGGGGUACUCGAGUGGCGAACGGGUGAGUAACACGUGAGUAACCUGCCCUUGACUUCGGGAUAACUUCAGGAAACUGGGGCUAAUACCGGAUAGGAAUCCUUGCUGCAUGGUGGGGGUUGGAAAGCUUCGGCGGUUUUGGAUGGACUCGCGGCUUAUCAGCUUGUUGGUGGGGUAGUGGCUUACCAAGGCUUUGACGGGUAGCCGGCCUGAGAGGGCGACCGGCCACAUUGGGACUGAGAUACGGCCCAGACUCCGACGGGAGGCAGCAGUGGGGAAUAUUGCACAAUGGGCGGAAGCCUGAUGCAGCAACGCCGCGUGCGGGAUGACGGCCUUAGGGUUGUAAACCGCUUUCAGCAGGGGCGAAGCUUGUGGUGACGGUACCUGCAGAAGAAGCACCGGCUAACUACGUG
rnacentral:rRNA from 1 species